UUUUACUUCAUUUGGUAGAGGUUCUGUAAACUAGAUUCUGAUUCUAGAUGUUCUUAUUAUUGUUGUUGUGGUAACCUGCUAUAGUUACUAUUGCAGUGAGGGCAUGACCUAUCUGUAACAUGCAUUACUUUUCUCCAAACUAGUUUGAGAUUGGAUUAUAAAUUUAUAAUCAGUAUACAUCCCCUUGCUUCUAGAGAUAUCCGGGAGGAGUGAAUUUCUUAUGAAGUAUAUGAUCAAGUCAAUAUUAAUUGUAUGCAUUAGUACUUUAGAAAGAUUCCUUUAGGAUUUUUGUGUAAAACAACUUUUAUUUAUGUUUUGUCACAUAAAAAAAUAAUGUUGAUUUACAGGUUUUCAGAUCUCUCAUUUUGCAACCGGAAGCCUGCAAAAGUAAGAGUGUUUUAGUGAAGCACGAAAUAGACAAAGACCUGAUGCUAAGAAAUGGUAUUGGUAAAGGCUUGAUGCUUAGACAUGAUAUGGGGGAAGCUUCGAUGAUGAGGAAUGGUAUGGGAAAAGGUUUGAUGAUGAAACACGGUAUCGGAAUAGGUCUGAUGAUGAGGCAUAGUAUGGGGAAAGGUCUAAUGACUGCGCGACAUGCAGUGAACCGUAAUACACUGAUAUAUUUUCUACUGAUGGCCAAAUGACCAUCAGGAAAGGUAACAACUUGAAAUUAUUUUAAUCGCAAGAAUCUACACAUCAGAAAGAAAAAAAGUUGGUUCAUCAAAACCUUGUUGAGAAGCAGGAGAGUUUACACAAUAAGGUGCAGGAAAGAAGGAAACGAGUGGUCAGGAAAUCAAAGAUGCAAAGUUGAAAGAAUGGAAACUCAAAUAAGUCACACCAAGAAGAAUACAAGCUCUGCAGCGGGGAACUAGAGUCCAGGGAAUCACAAGGACCAAAUCCACCAAUGUGUUCAGCUAAUUUGGCUUCUAAUGGAAUUCAUAGCUGUUCACUUUGUAAAGGUUUGAAAAUGAUAUGAUUUUAGUUAGUUAGAUAUAUAUAAUUGUUGUUCACUUUGUAAAAUUUUGCUUAAACUAGUUUAAUUUUUAUUUUCACAUAAAUAGCAUGUUAAUAUUUAACAAGCUCUCUUCUGUUUAUCCAGAUUUGGUAUUUGUCUACAUUCAUUAUUAACCAAUGGUUAAUAAAAUUUGAAUCACAUCAUAAGAAUGGCCCUCUUUCUUCUUACAACUCUAGUUUUCAUAUUCUUUGUUUUUUUACAGUGCGGCAUGGGGGUCCUCAUGAGAUGACACAAGGUAUCAUGUUUGGGAAGAAUAAUAUCUUUCUGGGAUUCUGGGA